GCUUGCUGAGGAGGACUUUAGUUGUCAGUCAGCUAGGAGGACCCUGAUUCCUAGCCCUGGAGGCGAUCCAGAGCAUCUCAUCCAGGGAGCCGAGAGGUCCUUCCACCACCCCGCUGGGGUCCAGCGCAGCUGGGCCAGGAGAAGGGUGGUGCAUCACUCCUGCGAGUCGAAGGCGAGACAGUGUGUGAAUGGGGCCUGGACUGCCCAAUUCCCUCUACCAAAGCAACUAGAACCUUCUUCUGCAUUAGGUGAUGGGUACCUGCGUGAGCUGUCAUUUGAGGACAGGGUUCCAGAGCACAAACAAAUUGGAGCCCCUGGUCCUCUCAGCUGGCAUCUGUGGAUUUGGCCUGCCUGGCGGGCCAGGCCAAUCGGAGAAGAGAAUGCCCUAUUGGGCACAGUGAUUGGGGCUCUGGCAUGGUCACAUGACAUGAGACAAGCCAAUAAGCAUGGAUCCUGAGAUUCUGCUUGGCGUCUCCUGGUCUGUACUUCCUGCUUUGUGCUGGGAUUGGGGCCAUGCGGCUGUAAGUCCAGAGCUACUGCAGGCCUCUUGCCACUGUGGGGAACCCAGCCUAGGAUGAAGCACAGGAAUGGAAACAGCUGAAAGAAGAAAGACACGGGUCCUGACCACAUCUUUUGGAGCCUGGAUCCAACCUUGCCUGGAUCUGCAACCACUACUGAGCUUUUCAUGUACUUGGUGCCAAUAUAUUCCAUGUCUCCAUUUUUAAAAGUAAAUUUGAGUUGGAUGUCCUUUUGCAACUAAAACAAUCCUGACCUAUAUAUUCUUUGGCAUUGUCCCUGUAGAGAAAACUGAGACCCACAGAGGGAAAGUGACUUGCCCAAAGUCAUCCAGUGAACUGGUAACAGACCCAGCCAGAAGUCUCCUGCCUGUAGCCAGCACUCGCUUCCCACGGUUUCCCAUGCUUUAACCUGGGCAGUAUAGCUUCUGGGAAGCAUAAGCCAGGAGGGGACAAGGAGCCCCCUGCUUGGGCAGGGAAGGGUGAGCCAGUUCUUCCACCCCUCCAGCAGGGGUCCUGUCUCUGCCAUGGCGGCGCCUGUGGGCAAGGAGGGAGCCAGCAUAGUCAGAAAUGAGCUCAGUGGUGAAGGCGUCUUCCCACCACUGCAGAACCCAGAGCUCCAUAUCGGAGGUGUGUCAGUGCCCAGCUUAUGCUGAAAUUCAGCUAUUCAUGGAGCCGCAGAGUUCCAGGGGGUCCCUUGGCAUCUAUGGUAGGUGGACUGGGAGAAGAACGACUACACUUUACGUCUUUUUUUAAAAAAGUUUUCCUUGAAUGGUUUUGCUUGAAAAAUAAAUAGGGGUUCAAUUCUAAUACAUUGGGCUUGGGUCUACAGCCAUUUUACAGAGAGGAAAACUGAGGCUCCAAGCAGUCAGAACUUUGCCAAGGACUUCCAAGAGGGCAAUACUGGCUCUGGGAUUCUGAUUUUCUCUCCCCUCCCACAGCCUUGGUGCGCUGGCUCGCCGUGUGACAAAGGCAAGACCUCAGGCCCACUUUGAGCUUCUGUGGGAUGAGGUGGUCUCUAGGAGUGCACCAGGCUCACUCUCUGCAUCCCCGGCCGCCUCCUGGGUUCUCCUGUCCUCAUGGUUACCUUUAAUGAAACAAGAAGUCAUCUCUGUCUUUACAGAAAGGACAGAUGAAUCAGAGGGCUGUUCAGCAAAGGGACUAAUGCACUUCCCCAGCUGACUUCGUCAUUCCUUUGUGCCUUGAAUGAAAUUCCUCUCCAGUACAUGCCUUUCAGAAAAAAAGAGAACACGGUGCAAAGAAUCCAGAGAGAUGGAUUGACCCUGAUAAUAUCAAAGAGUUAAUUUCUGAGCUCAUUCCUAAGCUGUCAGGGGUCUGGAAGACUUUCUGGAAGCCAUAAAUAAUGCAUUUUAAUAAGGGGGACUUUGAUUCCUCUCUGGGGGCUGAAACUGUAUUGUGAUUCGGGUGGCAACUUGUCAGGACGCCAACGUGGGGUUUCUCUGGCACUUAUUAAGGGAUUACAUAUUUUGGGCAUGUUCAGGUCUUCAUGGUCUACUGGAAAACCAUCCUGCCAAAAAUGUUUUUGACCUAAGGAAAUGGACUUUUAGUUGAAAACAACCCCCCUCUCUGUCUCAAGUUCAUUGUUUAUGAGUUUCACCCUGAAUUUGAUCGAAAGUGAUUUUUUAAUUAUUUUCACCAUUCCUUUGGCGUUGUGGUGGCUGUAUGACUCAAAGAUGACUCCAGUUUCCCACCUCAUGGAGCCCCAUGUCUAAGUUCACUGUGGAUACUGGAAUUCUGGUGUCCUGGGGACUGUAGAAACCCUGUCUUAGACAACCUUCAGGCUGAGUUCUGUCUGGACCAGGUUUAAUCUGAAAGAAAACUCGGAAGACCCGGGUUCUAGCCUUUGCCAUGAAUUUGCUGUGUGAUCUUGGGCAAGUCAUUUAACAUUUCUGGGCCACAUCUCCUCCUCUGUGAAAUAAGAACCUUAAGUCCAGGGACUCUGUGGAUUGAUGUUUUUUGAGGUUUGGAGAAGAGGCCAUUUUCUGUCCUAUAAAAUGGGGAUAGUGACACUCUUCUCCACACAAGAGGUGCUUGGUUCCUUUUCAAAUCAACAAAUAUUUGUUGAGUGCCAGCUGUAUGUGCCGGAUCCUGCUG
rnacentral:lncRNA from 1 species